UCCCUGGUGGCUCAAUGGGCUAAAGACCCAGCAUUGUCACUGCGGUGGCCCAGGUUCAAUCCCUGGCCUGGGAA
rnacentral:tRNA from 1 species